AUCCAGCUGACGAGUUCGAAAUAGGAAGAAAUGCGCGUUGUGGAU
rnacentral:hammerhead_ribozyme from 1 species